UAUAUAUAUUUAUAUUUCAUGAGCUUGACCGUUAUGUUUGUAUGUAAUAAGUUUGAAGUUUGUAUUUACAGUUGCGGAUAUUUUUUUGAAGUGUCUUGCUACCGUUCAUAUUAAUACAAACAAUAUAUUAAUAAAGACAUAUAUGUGAUAAUGUUAACAAGUAUAUAAUUACGUUAUAUAUAAAAUUCAGUUUGCUUGUUGGAAUAAAUAUCAGUUAUAUACAUUCUGAUUGAGGAGUAAAUAUUUUGUUUGCUAGAAGAAAGGAACGAUUCUUUCUCACUAUAAAUAAUAUAUUUCAUGGUAAUUUCAAAAUGAAUAAAAUAAAAAAUAAAGCAGAUUAUUCUGGUUACCAUACAUUACUACAACCCGAGAAUACAGUACGGAAGAUACCUCAACCAGUAAAAGUUGCACAGUUACUGCGUUCAUCUAAACAGUUACAAAAUGGUCAAAAAGGUAAUAUUGAUUUUUUAUA